rnacentral:rRNA from 1 species
ACGCUGGCGGCAGGCCUAACACAUGCAAGUCGAGCGGUAGAGAGAAGCUUGCUUCUCUUGAGAGCGGCGGACGGGUGAGUAAUGCCUAGGAAUCUGCCUGGUAGUGGGGGAUAACGUUCGGAAACGGACGCUAAUACCGCAUACGUCCUACGGGAGAAAGCAGGGGACCUUCGGGCCUUGCGCUAUCAGAUGAGCCUAGGUCGGAUUAGCUAGUUGGUGAGGUAAUGGCUCACCAAGGCGACGAUCCGUAACUGGUCUGAGAGGAUGAUCAGUCACACUGGAACUGAGACACGGUCCAGACUCCUACGGGAGGCAGCAGUGGGGAAUAUUGGACAAUGGGCGAAAGCCUGAUCCAGCCAUGCCGCGUGUGUGAAGAAGGUCUUCGGAUUGUAAAGCACUUUAAGUUGGGAGGAAGGGUUGUAGAUUAAUACUCUGCAAUUUUGACGUUACCGACAGAAUAAGCACCGGCUAACUCUGUGCCAGCAGCCGCGGUAAUACAGAGGGUGCAAGCGUUAAUCGGAAUUACUGGGCGUAAAGCGCGCGUAGGUGGUUUGUUAAGUUGGAUGUGAAAUCCCCGGGCUCAACCUGGGAACUGCAUUCAAAACUGACUGACUAGAGUAUGGUAGAGGGUGGCGGAAUUUCCUGUGUAGCGGUGAAAUGCGUAGAUAUAGGAAGGAACACCAGUGGCGAAGGCGACCACCUGGACUAAUACUGACACUGAGGUGCGAAAGCGUGGGGAGCAAAC